GACGAACGCUGGCGGCGUGCUUAACACAUGCAAGUCGAACGGUAAGGCCCUUCGGGGUACACGAGUGGCGAACGGGUGAGUAACACGUGGGUGAUCUGCCCUGCACUUCGGGAUAAGCCUGGGAAACUGGGUCUAAUACCGGAUAGGACCACUGCCUGCAUGGGUGGUGGUGGAAAGCUUUUGCGGUGUGGGAUGGGCCCGCGGCCUAUCAGCUUGUUGGUGGGGUGAUGGCCUACCAAGGCGACGACGGGUAGCCGGCCUGAGAGGGUGACCGGCCACACUGGGACUGAGAUCCGGCCCAGACUCCUACGGGAGGCAGCAGUGGGGAAUAUUGCACAAUGGGCGCAAGCCUGAUGCAGCGACGCCGCGUGAGGGAUGACGGCCUUCGGGUUGUAAACCUCUUUCAGCACCGACGAAGCGCAAGUGACGGUAGGUGUAGAAGAAGGACCGGCCAACUACGCGCCAGCAGCCGCCGCCG
rnacentral:rRNA from 1 species